CUACCUGUGGUCCUAGCUCUUCCCAAUGUCCUGCAUGUCUGCCCCCCAGCACCCAGGCUGCCAGCCAGGGCACCUUAGCAUGGCCCCAGCAUACCACUGUAGGGAGCCUGGAGUAUCCUUCCAUUUCUCAGCCAAGUUAUCAGUCUUUUGAGACUGAAGUCACACAGGCGGGAAUGUAGAUCUUGCACGCCUUCUCUAUGGGCACCUGGCCACCUUCACCUUCUCCCCCUACCCCUUAGCAGGAAUAGGGUGUUCUCCGUGUUCUAGGUAGUUUUCAGUGUCCUCCCUUCUUUCAAAGCACUUUGCUUGCAUUUUUUUUUUUUUUUUUUUAAGAGUCCUUCAUAGAGCUCAGUCAGGAAGGGGAUGGGGCACCAAGCCAAGCCCCCAGCAUUGGGAGCAGCCAGGCCACAGCUGCUGCUCCCAUAGGCCUCAGGCUGCAAGCAGGAGACAGCACUGGCCCUUGGCCAGCGUCCUACCCUGCCCAACUCCAAGGAUGAGCUCUGGGUAUGGAUCGCUGGCCCUUAGGCUCUUGCUUCUGGGGCUGCUGGAUGGAGGGUCAGUGUGACUGAAUAAAGUUCCAUUUUGUGAUGGUGGA